rnacentral:rRNA from 1 species
CGGACGGGUGAGUAAUGUCUGGGAAACUGCCCGAUGGAGGGGGAUAACUACUGGAAACGGUAGCCAAUACCGCAUAACGUCGCAAGACCAAAGAGGGGGACCUUAGGGCCUCUUGCCAUCGGAUGUGCCCAGAUGGGAUUAGCUAGUAGGUGGGGUAACGGCUCACCUAGGCGACGAUCCCUAGCUGGUCUGAGAGGAUGACCAGCCACACUGGAACUGAGACACGGCCCAG